AAGGCCGCACGUAGCGGCGCGUCCUCCGUUUGCGCGAUCUCCAAGCCCGCUCCGCGAAGCGCCGACCUCCCCCGCACGGAGCUCCAAGCCCGCGCGGAGCGUCGACCUCCCUCCCUGGACGAUCUCCAAGCCCGCGCGGAGCGUCGCGUCCUCCGUUUGCGCCGCGUCCCGACCAACGCCGAGCCCGCGCAUGUCGGGCUCCCUCUUCGCGACGGAUCGCCGCGCCGAGCGUCGGCACGUUGGGUCGCGGCGCUGCCUACGCUUUUCGGAUCGCGGGAUCUCGGCGCCGCCGAGCGUCGGCCCACGGCGCUGACCACGCGCCGAGUGUCGGAUCGCGGCGCCGCCCACGUCACGCUGCGGAUCGCGGCGCCCUCGUCAAGCUGCGGAUUGCGGGAUCGUGGCGCCGCCCUCGCCACACUGCGGAUCGCGGGAUCGCGGCGCCGCCCUCGUCACGCUGCGGAUCGCCGCCAAGUCUGCGCGGACGUCACGCCCUCGAUCUCGCGCCAAGGGUCGGCACGUCGGACCUGUCGCGAGCGUCGGCACGUCGUGGUUUCAUGGAGGACAUCGUUGAGUAUGAUGGGCCGGCACACCAACUUGAUUACGACAUGGUCUGGGACGAUGGAACCCAAGCAUUUGGUGAUCAAGGAGAUGAAGUUGAUGCUGAUGGAGUGCAAGAUGCAUCAACAAAUGGAGGUGCAGACGAUGGUGUGCAAGCUUCAGGGAUGUAAAUGGAGCUGCAAAUGGUGACCAUGUGGCUUCAGGGCCGCUGAUGAAUGAAGGAUCAGAUGAUGGUAUAUGCAUGACCCUUGAAAAGGGCUUUUUAAAUGAACUUGCGGAGGCUGGUGCCACAGAAAGUUCAGGUUACUCUCCCAGUUGCCCUCUGGGAAAUGAGGUCCAUCCAGAACAAUCAUCAACAGUUAAUGUUCUGCAGAAAUAGGGCUCUAUUUUAGGACAAUAAUCUAUGGAUUAUUUUCCUGCCCCUAUAUUUCAGAAUCUUAUCCUAUUUUCAAAGAGGUCUACCAUCUAAUAGGUAUGCUAUCAAACAUAUUAGUUUCAAAUUCCAGCUUUUGAAUUAGUUUCUAAUUUCUGUAUUGGAUAUCCAGAGCAAUAUUUUUCAGAUGUCAUGGCAAGGAGGGGCCAAGGUCUGGUGCUAUUGCCAGGACAUCAUAUUAGAUUGUAAUUUCAGUGAGAUCAUGUAGUGUGAUGUGAGAAAUGUCUUCUUCAUCCAUUGUCAUGGAUAGAUGGCAGACCAAAAGGCAGUACCCGUGGGGUUGUAGCACUUUUAUAAUGUUAUAUCCAAUUCAAGCUUUUAAAUUUA